rnacentral:rRNA from 1 species
GAUGAACGCUAGCUACAGGCUUAACACAUGCAAGUCGAGGGGAAACGAUGAGAGAGCCUGCUCUCUUAGGCGUCGACCGGCGCACGGGUGAGUAACGCGUAUCCAACCUACCCAUUACAGGGGGAUAACCUUGCGAAAGUAAGACUAAUACCCCAUGGCAUUUUAUGGUGGCAUCAUUAUAGGAUUAAAGAUUUAUUGGUAAUGGAUGGGGAUGCGUCUGAUUAGCUUGUUGGCGGGGUAACGGCCCACCAAGGCAACGAUCAGUAGGGGUUCUGAGAGGAAGGUCCCCCACAUUGGAACUGAGACACGGUCCAAACUCCUACGGGAGGCAGCAGUGAGGAAUAUUGGUCAAUGGGCGAGAGCUUGAACCAGCCAAGUAGCGUGCAGGAUGACGGCCCUAUGGGUUGUAAACUGCUUUUAUAGGGGAAUAAAGUGAGCUACGUGUAGUUUAUUGCAUGUACCCUAUGAAUAAGGACCGGCUAAUUCCGUG